UGGGGAAUUUUGGACAAUGGGGGAAACCCUGAUCCAGCCAUCCCGCGUGUGCGAUGAAGGCCUUCGGGUUGUAAAGCACUUUUGGCAGGAAAGAAACGUCAUGGGUUAAUACCCCGUGACACUGACGGUACCUGCAGAAUAAGCACCGGCUAACUACGUGCCAGCAGCCGCGGUAAUACGUAGGGUGCAAGCGUUAAUCGGAAUUACUGGGCGUAAAGCGUGCGCAGGCGGUUCGGAAAGAAAGAUGUGAAAUCCCAGAGCUCAACUUUGGAACUGCAUUUUUAACUACCGGGCUAGAGUGUGUCAGAGGGAGGUGGAAUUCCGCGUGUAGCAGUGAAAUGCGUAGAUAUGCGGAGGAACACCGAUGGUGAAGGCAGACUACUGAGAUAACACUGAAGCUCAUGCACGAAAGCGUGGGGAGCAAACAGG
rnacentral:rRNA from 1 species